UUGGAAUUGGCAGGCAGGAAGGAAAAAGUGGGAGGACUGGGGCAUUACAGGGAGACGUAAGGGAAGUGGCAGGGGAGGGAGGAGAAUAGGAGGAAGGAGAAAGAGAAGAGAGGAGAGAAACCUCAGAGUCACAGCACAGUAGGAGGAUUGAAGUGCUGGUGGGAGAGGAUGUGCUGAGAAGGAGAUGGAGCAGGCGAGGAGAUGGGCUGGGGAGACAGAUGGGCACUCCUGAGCCCUCUGUCUCUGCUCUGAAGGGGCCACAGCCUCCAGGCUGCCAGACUCCCUGGCAAGGCUUCUCCCUCCUCCUCCUCUCUUGCAUGAGUCCUGUGAAGGAUGGAGCAACAGUCUUCCUGGGGAGAGGAAGUGAGCUGUUCUGUCACACUGCCCCGUAUGUGGCCCUGGCACAUCAUGUGGUUCCAGAGACAGCCAGCUCCGGACCAGCUACUGAAGAAGGAAAAGCAGAGGGAUCCUGGUGUGGAGAUGGGCACUUAAUCUAACUUUAUCCCACUCUUUCUUCUCCUUCAGCCCUAACCAGAUUUACCAAAUGAGCUUUCCUCAGAUCUCCAAAGAAGACACUUGGGGUUACAACAGUUGAGUGUUAAAGAAAGUAUGCAUUUAGCAAGUGGCCGAAGACAUUUGCUGAGAUGCUUGUCCUCUGACCCCCUGCAGCUUGACUGAUGUAAUGGGAGAGAUAUGUUGGCUAUAUUUAUGCAGUCAAGCCUCCGAAGAGAUGGAGUUUAUCUGGACAUCACUGGAAAACAAAUUUUGUUGUGAAACCUCUGAAGAUGUGUUUUCUCGAGAGCAUCUGAAAGGAGGAGUUUACAGAGCCAUCCUUCUAAGGGUCUGUGAUUCCAUUGCCUUUUUGGUGGUGCUCCUAAUUCCUUCAUGACCCAGCUGAUACAACUGUGAACUAGGAAGUAGGAUUCAACCAAGACUCCAACUUGCAGGCCCCUUGAUCAGUGCUCUGCCUCUGUGAAACUGAGUCUCUGCCUGGCUUUAAAGUCCUUGCUGUUUCAUGUAUACACUUUUCUCACAUGGAAGGAAGAGUUCAAUUGCCAAGCUGGAAAGAGGUGGUGAUGCUCAGUGGAGAGUGCCUGGUUUCUAGCCCCAACCACGUGACUUCAGCAGGUGCUCCCCCCCAUCCCAUCCCCAAGCAAAGAUCUGGGUUCCAGCUCCAACACUGCCACCAGAUGGCCAACUGUUCUUAGGCCAGUGGUCUAACCUCUCUGCGCUUCAGCUUCAUCAUCCCUUGUUAGAUGUGCUCUGCCUACCUCACGGGACUGGACUGCUGAGUGGAACAAAUGAGGGUUAUGAGACACAGCUCUUUCACUGGGGUGGACAUACCAUGAAAAGGUGGUGGAGGCAACUUGUGUUAAUAAGGUCCGGCUCCAGUUUCAGACUCUAACCUGUGACUUGAGAGCCCAUGAGGUGUGUUCUCCUACCACAUAGUGGAUUUGUUAGGAAGUGGCUGCCAGUCAUGGACUAACCCAAGGCCUUUUUUAUCAAGGCUCGUUUACUGUGAUGAAACAGCUGCUGUGUUGUGAACUGCCCCAAGGAAAGGAGGGCAAUGGAACUGAGGGAGACCUCCACCAGCAGGCUUAGAGGACCUGAAUCCUGCCAACACCCACUGGAGUGACCUUGAAAGUGGAUUCUCUCCAAGUUAAGCCUUGAGAUGGUUCAAACACCUUGACUGCAGCCUUAUGAGAAGUCCUGAGUCAGAGGAUCCAGUUCAGCCACUGCCCACAGACUCCUGACUCACACUGCACUUGGGAGAGAAAUAAGUUCGGGUGGAAUCUGAAGAUCUUUUCAUUGCCCUUCAUGCUGUAUCAUAUAAGCAAAGCUUCCAAGUCACACAGUGAGACCCAGGAGGCAGGAGCCAAUAAAAUCUUAAAAACACCAAGGACCAGGCCCACACAUUCCAAAUGCUUCUUAGGACUCUUUGCCCCUCAUGGCCUUGCCGUGUGACCUGCUGCCAACACCACAGAGUAGCUGUCCUGGGAGCAACACUCACAAAGAAGCAUGGCAUUGUUUUAGUCCAUGGUGUUGGAGAGAAGAAAAAAGUGAAAUUGACAAGAAAAAUAAUCAAUACAUAAAAUUAAUGUCAAAUUUUUUAAAUGCCCUUAUUUCUAUGGUAUUAACCUACACUUUGAUUCCCUUUCACUUGCAUUGUUUGUCCUGAGCUUAAAAUGCAUGUAUGGACUAAUGUGCAAGGUACCUCACCAGAAAUAGCAGAUUCCCAUCUCACUUAUGCAUGGUAUGAACUAAUACAAUGAUUUAGUGUGUGGUAUGUAAAAUUAAGCAGUAAGAAGCUUUGAAACCAGAAGGGCAUGCACUGUUUUGAUGACUGCAAAUAAUGCCCUUUGAUUUCUUUUUUUUUUUUUUAAUGUACUUGUUUUCAUUAUCACUGCAUAUUGGAUUGUUAAGUUUUCAGACCCUGGACUACAUAUUUUAUGGGCACUGUCCCUUUUAACUUUAAUACAUACAGCAAUUCUGACAGCGGGUGCUUUGCUUCCAUUUUAGAGAUCAGAAAAUUAAGGCUUAUAGGAGUCAAGUUGCCAAAGUCACAAAGUUGACACAUGGCGGACCUGGGAUUCAAACCCAGUCUUUUCUGAGUUCAAGCUCGCAGCUAAACCCAAGCACUGUUUUGCCUACCAUGGAGGGUUAAACCAGCAGCCGAGGACAUCUCUUACACAUGUAUCCAGUCUUCUGUCAAAGGGGCAUGUGACCAGACCUGUCCCUACCCUUUGUAUGAGCACCCCCCACCCCCAGUCCUAAAAUGUUCUGCUUAACUGAGGUUUGAGUUACUGAAUGGGCAAACAGAUAAACCAGGAGGUAAUUAUUUAUAUAACCAGCAAAAUAAUCUUUCAAAAUAGAAUAUCAUUAGUCCUUUGAGUAGUUUAUUGAUGACUCAUGAUUCUUAAAAUCUCUGAUAGGAAAGGAAUUUAGAAGUUCAUCUGAUGCAAACUUCCUUGACUACUGAAUUGAGAUGCCAUGAAACUUAAACUAAAAGAGUCUAUUGGAGUGAAAUUGUGGAUAAUCAUGGAUAUCAUCUCUAAGAUGAUAAUGUGCAUGUGAAUAGGAAGGAAGAGUUCACUGGGCUCAAUCUGAUUAUUUGUUUUUCAAGUAUUUUUAUAUCCAAUUUUGGGAAUAAAUAAUUUUAUCCAAAUCUUCCUCUCCCUCCUUUCCAUAAUCCAAAUUCUGUCCAUUCUUCAAGUCCUAAAUUAAUUGUAAGUUUUUUCAUGGAAAUUCCUCAAUGGUGGGACAGCUAUUUUUCCUUCUGGACUUCCAUUUUUCUCAGUCUUGUUUAUGUCACUUAGUGUUUGAUUUUCAGACUGCAUUCUAAUAGUUUCAUCAUUCUAACUGAUUGUGUGAAGGACACAGAAAGUGUAUAUUCAGUUUCUUGCUUCCCCAGAAGCCCCUCACUUAGGGAUUGACUUUGUAGCAGGUGCUUUCAGGGCCCCGCCCUACUCUUUGGACCCUUCAGUGGGCUCCAGCUAACUUAAAAAUGUCAGUAUCUGCCUUUGUGUGCCUGAAGGCUCCCCUUCCUUCACCCUCAGUAGGGGAAAGCUUGCUCUUUGUAUAUAUGGCAGGCCAGAGUUUCAAAGAGUUACCACCCUCUAGCAACAGCCCUCAAACUAAUGAAGCUCUUAAGUUGGUAUAUAAAUACCCCAGCUCCCUCACUCCUUGAAGUGGUUCUGAAUCAUGUGCUUUGCACCAUUUCCCAGAGUUUUCUUGAGAGUUAGGCUCCAGCGGUCCAUAGCAGUAGCUGGCUAAAAAAAGUCAUGUACCCUUUAUUUAUUGCUUUAUUUAUUGCAUUUUCUCCUUGUGUUACUUGCAGUGCCCAAGUAGAUAGUUUACACUCACAUCAGGAUCUGCUUCUGGGGAACUCAAACCAAGACAGGUAUAGAGGAUAUUGUCAAUAUUGACUUAUUGGUUGGAUGAUUAGCUGACUGUCAGUGUUUUCCCUUGCAGGUACAGGGAUUGUGCGUUUUUUUUCGGAAGCCAUGGUGCUUUUCUGCCCAGUGGUACUCAUUCAUUCCUAGUUGAAUGGAACAAUGAUGAGGGCAAGGAUUCCCACCCCAGGUUCAUCUAGCUCUGUUCACUACUCUGUAUUUGUGAUCUAUUACUGACUUCGGUAAGUAGCAAAGAGCCCAGGGGAAUUAUGUCAAACCUCUAUUCCCUCUCUCCCAUCCCUGCUGCUACCAGCUGCAUGCAAUUCUCAUGUUUUAUUGUCUUUACAUUGAUUACCUUCUGACAAGGCCAGGAAGAAAUGCUGACCCUUGGUUACAACUAAGCAAAGGCCCCUUCCCUUUGGAAACACAAAAAAGAAUGAGAAAAUGAACAACAGAAAGAUGUUUCCUAACAGGGCCAUGUCAAAUUUAUAGAUAAAUAAAAUAUCAAAGAUCAAAUGAGGCUAGAUCAGCAGUUUGGAUCUCUCCCCAACCAAGCAGAGAAUAUGCUGUCGACUCUGUCUUGGACUGAUUUCCAACUUUGUGAUUCACAGCUGUAGCCAGGCAGAGUACGUCCAAUAAUGCUAUUUGUUUUCCACUUAAAAAAAAAAAAAAAGGCUGGGGAAAUAUAUAAA